CCUGGUGUCUCAGAUGGUAAAGAGUCUGCCUGUAAUGCAGGAGACCCAGGUUCAAUCCCUGCAUCAGGA
rnacentral:tRNA from 1 species